CAACAAAGAACAACCACCAAACAGCUAGCUAAGCCACCACAAACAGCCACCCAAAAUUCCAAAUCAGUCAUUGACGAACACCGAAUCAAACCCCCCUUUUCGAUUUUUUUACUUUUAGUUUUUAUUGCAGGUGUUUCGGCGAGCUCAAAGCUUCAACCAUGGAUCUAAUGACGUUUCAAUGAGCUUUGUUCUUCAGAUCCAUGACGUUUGAGUAAGCUUUGUGCUUCCAAAUCUGAAACAACCAACAAAUAAGGCAAGUGGGCGUGUGAAUAUGCACAUACAAAUAUAUGAAUACACAAAUGAAAAGAAACCAAUUUUAACUA
rnacentral:lncRNA from 1 species